GAUUCCUUGCCUCUCUACCAGAGAGAUACCUGGCUGACUACAGUGGAGCUGCAGGCCAAUGACGUCACCAGGCGAUGUUCCCACAGCUGAGCAGAGGAUCCAAUACGACAAACCAUGCAGCAGAUCCUCAAUGGUACAGCACUUUGGUUAAAUACAGAGAUUAAAUGUUAUAUUCUACUCUCUACAUUUUGAUUGACAAUGGUGCUUGUGUGCACCUUAAACAUUUUAUGAGCUUUGAUGAGAAGCAUAACCAUAUGGAUUUAGAAGUAUAAUACAGAAACUAUUGAAAAUGCUAUCAAUAAAUCUAACAUACUCUUUUCUGAAAGUUUUUUUUAAACUGUUGUUGGUCCCUUUCCUACAGAAAAUAAUCCAACUGGUAACUCUGAAUUGGACUACCGGUUUCUGUCAAAACACCCACACUGUGAUGAAAGUGACCUUGUGAAAAUCCAAGACAUGGAACAGCUUGGAUGUUAUCAGUCUUUGGACAAGUCAUGAUGAGGUUUAAUCUCUCGCUCCUUCCCUCUCUCUCCUGGCCUCUUCUCUGUCACUUCUCCCCUCAUAUCUCCUCUACAGCACGUGGGUAUUGCGGCCUUCUUGAUCAAGUUCUAAUGAAGUGGCUGAUGAUAUCUGCAUCCUGUUGAUAGACACUAUGCCCCCAGAUGCAGAGACUGGAGGAGACAACAGCCAUUAUUUAAUAUCUGCUCAUUAUUACUGAACCAAAAUGUAAACGCAACAUGUAAAGUGUUGGUCCAAUGUUUCAUGAGCUCAAUUAAAAGAUCCCAGAAAUGGUUUACAUCCUUGUUAGUGAACAUUUUCUGAUAAUCCAUCCACUUGACAGGUGUGGCAUAUCAAGAAGCUGAUUAUAAAGCAUUAUCAUUACACAGGUGCACCAUGUGCUGGGGACAAUAAAAGGACACUCUAAAAUGUGCAGUUAGUGCCACAUAACACAAUACCAUAUAUGUCUAAAAUUUAGAGAUAGUGUGCAAUUGGCAUGCUGACUGCAGGAAUGUCCACCAGAGUUGUUGCCAGAUAAUUUAUUGUUAAUUUCUCUGCCAUAAGCCAUCUCCAACGACGUUUUAGAGAAUUUGGCAGUAUGUCCAACCGGCCUCACAACCGCAGAGCACGUGUAACCACGCCAGCCCAGGACCUCCACAUCUGACUUAUUCACCUGCGGGAUCGUCUGAGACCCGCCACGCGAACAGGUAAUGAAACUGAGGAGUAUUUCUGUCUGUAAUGUAGCCCUUUUGUGGAGAAAGCUCAUUCUGAUUGGUUGGGCCUGGCUCCGCAGUGGGUGGCCCAUCCAUGGCUACGCCCAGUCAUGUAAAAUCCAUAGAUUAG
rnacentral:lncRNA from 1 species